rnacentral:pre_miRNA from 1 species
UGUGGGAGUGAGAUUGGGACUAACUGUUUUCAUGCUGCCAUCUGUUGUGGCAGGAAAUCAAUUUUUAAGUCAGUCUUUUUCUCUCUCCUAUC